CUCAGCUGACGAGUCCCAAAAAGGACGAAACGCGCAUCCUUGAU
rnacentral:hammerhead_ribozyme from 1 species